AAAGGAAUAGACGGGGGCCCGCACAAGCAGUGGAGUAUGUGGUUUAAUUCGAAGCAACGCGAAGAACCUUACCAGGACUUGACAUCCCUUGACGUACUUAGAGAUAGGUAUUUCCUACGGGACAAGGAGACAGGUGGUGCAUGGUUGUCGUCAGCUCGUGUCGUGAGAUGUUGGGUUAAGUCCCGCAACGAGCGCAACCCCUGUUGUUAGUUGCCAGCAUGUAAAGAUGGGCACUCUAACGAGACUGCCGGUGAUAAAUCGGAGGAAGGUGGGGACGACGUCAAAUCAUCAUGCCCCUUAUGUCCUGGGCUACACACGUACUACAAUGGUUGUAACAGAGGGAAGCGAAAUCGCAAGGUGGAGCAAAUCCCCAAAAGCAACCCCAGUUCGGAUUGUGGGCUGAAACUCGCCCACAUGAAGUCGGAAUUGCUAGUAAUGGCAGGUCAGCAUACUGCCGUGAAUACGUUCCCGGGCCUUGUACACACCGCCCGU
rnacentral:rRNA from 1 species